GGAGUUAGCCGGUGCUUCUUCUGUGAGUGAUGUCCUUCCUGCCGGCUAUUAACCCGCAGGCCUUCUUCCUCACUGAAAGUGCUUUACAACCCGAAGGCCUUCUUCACACACGCGGCAUGGCUGGAUCAGGGUUGCCCCCAUUGUCCAAUAUUCCCCACUGCUGCCUCCCGUAGGAGUCUGGGCCGUGUCUCAGUCCCAGUGUGGCUGAUCAUCCUCUCAGACCAGCUACGGAUCGUCGCCUUGGUGAGCCGUUACCUCACCAACCAGCUAAUCCGACAUAGGCUCAUCCGAUAGCGCGAGGCCCGAAGGUCCCCCGCUUUCCCCCGUAGGGCGUAUGCGGUAUUAGCCUGGGUUUCCCCAGGUUAUCCCCCACUACCGGGCAGAUUCCUAUGCAUUACUCACCCGUCCGCCGCUCGCCACCAGGGAGCAAGCUCCCCGUGCUGCCGCUCGACUUGCAUGUGUAGCUCGCCGCCACGCGUCAUCUGAGCCAGAAUACGAACCCGUACGA
rnacentral:rRNA from 1 species